GGGAGAAGCAGGCUCCCCACUGAGCAAGGAGGUUGAUGAAGGGACUCCCAUCUUAGGACCCUGGGACCAUGACUGGAGCCAAAGGCAGACGUCCAACCAAAUGAGCCAUCCAGGAAUGUAUAAAGAAGUCCAAAAUCACAGUUCUAGAUGCCAUGUAAAUCUCCACCUCUCCAGCUGCCAUCACGGAAAGAUACCAGAACAAAAAGGAGAGUAA
rnacentral:lncRNA from 1 species